AAAAUUGAAUGAUGAACAUAAACUCCUUAGCAGGCAUCAUAAGAAGGACACUGUUACGCUGCAACACUGAGUGGUGAAGCACAUAAGAGAGUCCAGAGUUAUUGGUUUCUGAAGAAUGAUGGGCCACGUUCUGUUCAGAGUGUUCAUUUUCGUCACACUUAUCUCAUUUUAUCUUUAAGCUCUUUUGACUAAUAAAUAAUUCACAA